GGGGAUUUAGCUCAGUGGUAGAGUACUUGCCUAGCAGGUAAGUACAAGGUCCUAAGUUCAGUCCUCA
rfam:Mesocricetus auratus contig004579, whole genome shotgun sequence.